rnacentral:rRNA from 1 species
GUAGGUGGCAAGCGUUAUCCGGAAUUAUUGGGCGUAAAGCGCGCGCAGGUGGUUUCUUAAGUCUGAUGUGAAAGCCCACGGCUCAACCGUGGAGGGUCAUUGGAAACUGGGAGACUUGAGUGCAGAAGAGGAAAGUGGAAUUCCAUGUGUAGCGGUGAAAUGCGUAGAGAUAUGGAGGAACACCAGUGGCGAAGGCGACUUUCUGGUCUGUAACUGACACUGAGGCGCGAAAGCGUGGGGAGCAAACAGGAUUAGAUACCCUGGUAGUCCACGCCGUAAACGAUGAGUGCUAAGUGUUAGAGGGUUUUCGCCCUUUAGUGCUGAAGUUAACGCAUUAAGCACUCCGCCUGGGGAGUACGGCCGCAAGGCUGAAACUCAAAGGAAUUGACGGGGGCCCGCACAAGCGGUGGAGCAUGUGGUUUAAU